rnacentral:rRNA from 1 species
GCUCGAGUGGCGAACGGGUGAGUAACACGUGAGUAACCUGCCCUUGACUUUGGGAUAACUUCAGGAGACUGGGGCUAAUACCGGAUAGGAGCUCCUGCUGCAUGGUGGGGGUUGGAAAGUUUCGGCGGUUGGGGAUGGACUCGCGGCUUAUCAGCUUGUUGGUGGGGUAGUGGCUUACCAAGGCUUUGACGGGUAGCCGGCCUGAGAGGGUGACCGGCCACAUUGGGACUGAGAUACGGCCCAG